rnacentral:rRNA from 1 species
GACAGAGGGUGCAAACGUUGUUCGGAAUUACUGGGCGUAAAGCGUGUGUAGGCGGCUAUGUAAGUCGGAUGUGAAAGCCCAGGGCUCAACCCUGGAAGUGCACCCGAUACUGCGUAGCUUGAGAAUCGGAGAGGUUGGUGGAAUUCUCGGUGUAGAGGUGAAAUUCGUAGAUAUCGAGAGGAACAUCGGUGGCGAAGGCGGCCAACUGGACGAAUUCUGACGCUGAGACACGAAAGCGUGGGGGAGCAAACAGG